CUCAAAUGAAGAGGUUAGGAGCAACGACUUUGAAAUGGCAGCCUUAGCAGGAGAAGACUCUGUAGUCCCAAGUUCAAUCAACUUUCGAUCAGAAAAUAGAAUCCAGCCAAGAGCUGCCAUGAGGUAAACAGACCUCCAUGACCACGUGCUCCCACCACGAUGUGCUGCCUUACCACAGACCCAUGGCAAUAGGGCCAAGUGACCAUGGACUGAAACCUCUGAAACCAUGAGCC
rnacentral:lncRNA from 1 species